AAAUGUUGGGUUAAGUCCCGCAACGAGCGCAACCCUUAUCCUUGUUUGCCAGCGAGUAAUGUCGGGAACUCCAGGGAGACUGCCGGUGAUAAACCGGAGGAAGGUGGGGACGACGUCAAGUCAUCAUGGCCCUUACGAGUAGGGCUACACACGUGCUACAAUGGCGCAUACAGAGGGCGGCCAACUUGCGAAAGUGAGCGAAUCCCAAAAAGUGCGUCGUAGUCCGGAUUGGAGUCUGCAACUCGACUCCAUGAAGUCGGAAUCGCUAGUAAUCGUGGAUCAGAAUGCCACGGUGAAUACGUUCCCGGGCCUUGUACACACCGCCCGUCACACCAUGGG
rnacentral:rRNA from 1 species